GUCAUUAAGUAGAAAACAACACGAGAUGGCACUUGCAACGAGGUUCUUUAAAUAGUAGCGACACAACAGGGACGCUAUGAUAGGUUUCCAGUAGCAUGCUAACCUGGAUAAUGUCAUGCUGCGGAACUCCAAAUUGAAAGGCAGGAGCCGAGCGGCGGAAGGGAGCCACCACCACUUUACUGCCUUCCUCACACUGGUCGCGGAUGCAACGACUUCGUCACUUUUGAGGAGCCACAUUGUCCAUUUUUUUCCUCCCCCCCCCUUCAUCACGAUGGCGGGGGCAAUUAUCGAGAACAUGAGCACCAAAAAGUUGGUGAUAGUGGGAGUUAUACUGCUUUUGUUCCAGGCGUUCGCUUUCAUGGUCGGUGGGUUAAUUGCUCCUAGCCCCACCACGGCAGUCCACUACCUGGCUACCAAAUGUGUGGACACUGUCAAGCACCGCCAGGAAACAAAGUGGUUCAUGCCUUGGGGUCCCAACCAAUGUGACAAGAUCCGGACCUUUGAUGAGGCCAUGGCCAAGAGGAUUGAGGCCAACAACAUUGUGUUUGCUGUCCACAUUCCUCUGCCUAACAAGGAGAUGAGCCCCUGGUUCCAGUUCAUGCUGGUUAUCUUGCAGUUUGACAUCGCGUUCAAGAUGUACAACCAGAUAGAGGAUGGAGCAAUGGUCACUGUUGACGUGGGCCUGGCCUACAGAGACGAUACAGUCAGUGAGUGGACCGAGAUGGCUCACUCUUUUGAAAAACGGAAGCUCAACUGCAACUUCACCACUUCAAAGACUUUUGAAAAUGAGGGCCGUUACUAUGAGUGUGACCUGUUGCCCUUCAUGGAGGUCGGUAGUGUGGCUCAUAAGUACUAUCUCCUCAACAUCCGUCUGCCCGUCAAUGAGCGCAAGAAGAUCAACGUGGGCAUUGGAGAAAUAAAGGAUAUUCGCUUGGUUGGCAUCCAUCAAAAUGGAGGUUUCACUAAGGUUUGGUUUGCCAUGAAGACCUUCCUGACACCCAGCAUCCUCAUCAUCAUGAUCUGGUACUGGAGGCGCAUCACGCUGAUGACCAGACCCCCUGUGCUGCUGGAGAAAGUGAUCUUUGCUCUGGGGAUCUCCAUGACGUUCAUCAACAUCCCAGUGGAAUGGUUCUCAAUUGGCUUCAACUGGACCUGGAUGUUGCUUUUUGGAGACAUCCGACAAGGCAUUUUCUAUUCCAUGUUGCUUUCCUUCUGGAUCAUCUUCUGCGGGGAGCACCUCAUGGACCAGACGGAGAGGAAUCGUUUCUCAGUGUAUUGGAAGCAAGUUGGGCCCAUCGUGUUUGGGUCUUUCUGUCUCUUUAUCUUUGACAUGUGUGAGAGAGGUGUCCAGUUGACAAACCCCUUCUAUAGCAUCUGGGCAUCUGAUGUUGGGACUGAGCUGGCUAUGGCUUUCAUUAUAGUGGCAGGGAUUUGCGCCUGCCUCUACUUUCUCUUCCUCUGUUUCAUGGUUUUCCAAGUCUUCCGCAACAUCAGUGGUAAGAGGACUUCACUUCCCGCCAUGUCCAAGGCCAGACGCCUGCACUAUGAGGGUUUAAUUUUUAGGUUCAAAUUUCUCAUGUUGGUCACUUUGGCCUGUGCUGCCAUGACCGUCAUCUUCUUCAUCAUCAGUCAGGUGAAUGAGGGUCACUGGCACUGGGGGGAACACACCGUGCAGGUGAACAGCGCCUUCUUCACAGGCAUCUACGGAAUGUGGAACCUGUACGUAUUCGCCAUCAUGUUCUUGUAUGCCCCCUCUCACAAGCGAUACGGAGACGACCAGUCAAGUGGACAGUGCAUCACUGUGGGAAAUCGACCGCCCCAGGAGAAAAAGCAAGAAAACAAAUGCGUAUUGAGCACAGUCAGACUGGCUAACCCUUAGCCACUUAACAGCCAGUGCUACCCUGAGCCAUCAGGGCCAACUCUGCACUCUCAUUCGCUGAAUCCCACAUCACUCAACAGGCCAGGCCUUUUGAAGCGACACGAAUUCAAAAUCACCGAUACAGCAGUCUAGAAUGAGAGGAUGGUGACACCAAGUGGACAAAAAUAAUACCUGCAUCUCACGUGCAUAUUUUGUGUCUGUAUUAUGCAUAAAGCUUUAAGAUAUAACAAAAUAAAUAUAUACUCGCUACUUCGCGGAUCUUAGUUUAUUGCGGGGGGUUCUGUAAAGUACACUCCUGUGCGAUAAACAACAGACUACCAGUACAAAAACAGUAGCUGUUUCCACCUAUGAAUGUUUAAGCCUGUAGGAAAGAUACCCGUUUAAUUUAAUUGAUUUGGCGACAAAUAAAUGCAAGUCAGAAAAUUCACUCUACUUUGUUUGGGGUAUUUCAAACACAGCAAAUGUUAGCAAAAUUUAUUAUUUGGUGGGGAAUUCCCUGAGUCUUAUUUGGCUGGAGAGUAAGAUUUGAGUGGCUUCCUUCCAGGCUCAGAGCAAGGCAACAGUGACAAAAAGGGUUUAGGAAGUAAUGAAAACCAUUGCUCUCUCAGAUUUGGUGUCGGAGACAAGUGGAGGGUUUGACAUUUUUUGGAAGCUUUCCCAAAAAUGCAUCAACCAGCCUCAUGAGACGUGCGCUUCGCACCACUGUGUUGAUUUACAUCAUCUAGCCUUUCGUUCUGUCGAGUCACUAGAAUUCCAUAUUGGCAGCAAAAGGCAAACCACGCACGACCUAUUAAGCGGUGGUUCUCAAACUGGGGUCCCCAGCCUCACGAGGGUCCACAAGAUAAUCUGCAAUACAUUACAUUAUUAUAUUGUAUCCUUUAAACAUAGUGCAUACCUACAUAUUGUAUUGGACCGGCGCACCAAUAAAACAAACAAACUAAAUCAUUUACUCCUCCCUAGUUUAGCUUUGGACUAAUCCGGCAUAUGCGCAACCUACUUCUGCAUUUGGCAAAAUGGGUCUAAGCACUUCCUCCUGGUUUGGUUACACAAAUGGCGAAGGGGGCCAUGACAAUGCAACCGUAUGAACUUUAAAUGUCUUAAAAAUUUCUUUUUUAACACAGGAUGUCUCCACAGAGCGGCCAAGGAUGACAAUAUUCAAUGUUUAGGCUUCGUUCGUGUUUACAUUUAUUUGUAAAAGUAAAUGAUGUACAUGUAUUUAACUUUUGUCCAAAGACACCAGCCAUAAAGAAUACCAAAUUUUGGCAAGUUUGGCUUCAAACAAUCAUAUAAUCAAACUAUAGUUUUACUGCGCGAAAGCAUAGCAUCCAUGGGAAGUCAGCCAUCACAUUUUCCGUUUGGUCAUGUGAUGUUCCACAUAUAGCGGAUUAAGAACUCUAUGAUUGUGUUAUGUCUUUUUUUAUCUUUUUUUUUUUUUUUUUUUAAACAAAAAAACAGUAUUACAGUCCCAUUUUUUUCAAGAACAAAGGUCUUUUUUUUUUUACGAACAUAGUUCCUUUUUUAAAUAGACGUCUUUUUUGGAAUAGAGGGUGUAAAAUUAUGAGAAUAAAGUUGUUUUUUUCGGUUCCCUUGUUAACAUACGACUUGCAUCGUUCAGAUUUGAAUUUAAUGCAGUGGGGCCUAGAGAUAUGAAGUUUAUUUAUUCUACAACCCCAUUUCCAAUGAAGUUGGGACGUGUUAAACAUAAAUAAAAACAGAAUACAAUGAUUUGCAAAUCAUGUUCAACCUAUAUUUAAUUGAAUACACUACAAAGACAAGCUAUUUAAUGUUCAAACUGAUAAACUUUAUUGUUUUUAGCAAAUAAUCAUUAACUUAGAAUUUUAUGGCUGCAACACCUUCCAAAAAAGCUGGGACAGGUGGCAAAAAAGACUGAGCAAGUUGAGGAAUGCUCAUCAAACACCUGUUUGGAACAUCCCACAGGUGAACAGGCUAAUUGGAAACGGGUGUGUGCCAUGAUUGGGUAUAAAAGGAACUUCCCUGAAUUGCUCAGUCAUUCACAAGCACAGAUGGGGCGAGGUUCACCUCUUUGUGAACAAGUCCGUGAGAACAUAGUCGAACAGUUUAAGGACAAUGUUCUUCAACGUACAAUUGCAAGGAAUUUAGGGAUUUCAUCAUCUACGGUCCAUAAUCAUCAAAAGGUUCAGAGAAUCUGGAGAAAUCACUGCAUGUAAGCGGCAAGGCCAAAAACCAACAUUGAAUGCCCGUGACCUUCAAUCCCUCAGGCGGCACUGCAUCAAAAACCGACAAUGUGUUAAGGAUAUCACCACAUAGGCUCAGGCACACUUCAGAAAACCAAUGUCAGUAAAUGCAGUUCGGCGCUACAUCCGCAAGUGCAACUUGAAACUCUACUAUGCAAAGCGUUUAUCAACAAAUCCCCAGAAACGCCACCGGCUUCUCUGGGCCUGAGCUCAUCUAAGAUGGACUGAUGCAAAGUGGAAAAGUGUUCUGUGGUCCGAAGAGUCCAAAUUUCAAAUUGUUUUGGGAAAUUGUGGACGUCGUGUCCUCCGGGCCAAAGAGGAAAAGAACCAUCUGGACUGUUAUGGACGCAAAGUUCAAAAGCCAGCAUCUGUGAUGGUAUGGGGCUGUGUUAGUGCCAAUGGCAUGGGUAACUUACACAUCUGUGAAGGCACCAUUAAUGCUGAAAGGUACAUACAGGUUUUGGAGAAACAUAUGCCGCCAUCCAAGCAACAUCUUUUUCAUGGAUGCCCCUGCUUAUUUCAGCAAGACAAUGCCAAACCACAGUCUGCACGUGUUACAACAGCGUGGCUUCAUAGUAAAAGAGUGUGGGUACUAGACUGGCCUGCCUGCAGUCCAGACCUGUCUCCCACUGAAAAUGUGUGGCGCAUUAUGAAGCGUAAAAUACGACAACGGAGACCCUGAACUGUUGAACAGCUGAAGCUGUACAUCAAGCAGGAAUGGGAAAGAAUUCUACCUACAAAGCUUCAACAAUUAGUGUCCUCAGUUCCCAAACGUUUAUUUGAUUGUUGUUAAAUGAAAAGCUGAUGUAACACAGUGAUAAACAUGACCCUGUCCCAGCUUUUUUGGAAUGUGUUGCAUCCAUAAAAUUGUAAGUUAAUGAGGUUUGGGGUUGUAUGACCAUCAUAUGCUCAUAACUCAAAGCACUAUCUCAAAUUAUCUUUGAGAAUCAGGUUUAUUGCCCAAGUUUCUUACAAGACACGCAAGGGAUUUGUUUCUUGUAGUUGGAGCCACUCUAGUAUGACAACAAACAGCCGCUACGACAAAAUAUACAUUUAGAGCAUAAAAAACACGAGUAUGGAGAGUUAUUGAGCCAUCAAAGUGUACCGCUAGUAUAGUGAUGCUGAUAUAAUGGCAUUGUGCAAAUGAGUCCUCAAGCAAUUUAAAGUGACUAAUAGUGCAAUGAUUUGGUACAGUGACGAUUGUGCAAAUGGUGCAGAGUUAUCAAACACAUAAAGUGGCCAGUAGUAAUCAACAACAGUAUGCAAAUAGUGCAGCGUGAUUAAACAGUGAAUGCACAAAUAAUGUAGAAGUGUCCCAACAGAGAUUUGCAAAAUUGGCAGCAUGUUAUAAUGAAAUUGUAAGUCAACUGUUUAAGAGGUUGAUGGCAAGAGGGAAGAAGCUGUUAGAAUGUCUGCUGGUUUUAGUUUGAAUUUUCCUUGUGGAAAUGAAUAGAAAUCCAUUAAUCCGUUCCAGCCUCUCAACAAAACCCCCCAAAAAUGUUUGUAAUGUGUUUUUAAUAAGAAGAAUAGCACUCUAUAGUAUUGUCUUUCAUAAAAACACACAGAAAUUACAUAGAAUGUAAAGAAUUAGUUUUUGCCAAACUAUUUGCUUCAAUUAAACAGACAUUGUGCUGCUUGCUCCUGGUUUGUGCGCCUUGGCUGUAUAAUGCAGACUUCUGGCUAUACUGUACACUGGUCUCAGCUCCUCAGUAACCCUCAGUAAUAUUUGUCAUUCUUUGCAGAGGAUAAAGAAUAUAUCCCUGAGAUGCUGCGGCAAACAGCGGGGAGGACAUCCAACUGACUACAACCAUCACUCAUGUCGACGGUCCCACUGAGAUCUACAAGAUGACUGGAAAAGAGGCACAAGAGUAGACCCCGCACUGUUAUUGACACAUGCCCUUUAUUACCUACUGUUCCAAAUACCCCCUUUCCCAAUUCCAUUCUGUACAUAAGUUACAAGCAUUUCUCUUUAUACUGUAUACUGCCAGUCUGAUAGAGCAGUGGCAGUCCGCCUUUGCAUGAACCUUCCAACCUCCAGCUGCGGUUUCUUUCAAACCAUCGCCAAUACUUGCAAAAAGUUAAGGAUACUAACUUUUUGUAAGUAGUGUAUUUCACACCAAUGUCUCUGUUGUUUUCCCAAAAUUCUGAAUACUCUAGUCAUUUUAAUUUCAUGAUGGAUACAUUUCAUACGUUUUUUGUACAAUUGUUUUUAAAUGUUGCACAACACUUUUGACACCAAGUCGGGUACUUGAAAGCUGUUUCACAGACAAAUGUAUUAGUUCAAAAUGUUACAUUUAUCCUGUUUGGCACUACAGUUUAACUGUUUAAGACCUGAGCUUUUGAUGGGAAAGGACAGCGUGAUUUUUUUUUUCUGAAUGCCUUGCUGUCAUUAGGUUUAAUUUUCUAUCCUGUAAUAUUCAUAGUGAAGGAAAUAGAACCUGUCACUAAUCUCUUCCAUAGAAAGUACACGUGACACACAAUUAUGUGAUUUUAAAAAAAACAACAAAAAAAGUGUUUAAUCAUUGGGGUAAUGUACAGACCACAUAGCCUAUUUUUGUUUUUCUGACUUCAAAACAAUGUAUCAAGCUCUGCCAUUUUAAGAGUGUAGAAGUUGCCAGUAGUCUAUUAAAUGUAAUGUUUUUCCUCUUUGCUUUUUAUUGUAAUUUAAAUAAAGUACUUAACUAUU